rnacentral:rRNA from 1 species
AUUGAACGCUGGCGGCAUGCCUUACACAUGCAAGUCGAACGGCAGCACGGGGGCAACCCUGGUAGCGAGUGGCGAACGGGUGAGUAAUGCAUCGGAACGUGCCCAGUAGUGGGGGAUAACCAGUCGAAAGACUGGCUAAUACCGCAUACGACCUAAGGGUGAAAGCGGGGGACCGUAAGGCCUCGCGCUAUUGGAGCGGCCGAUGUCUGAUUAGCUAGUUGGCGGGGUAAGAGCCCACCAAGGCGACGAUCAGUAGCUGGUCUGAGAGGACGACCAGCCACACUGGGACUGAGACACGGCCCAGACUCCUACGGGAGGCAGCAGUGGGGAAUUUUGGACAAUGGGCGCAAGCCUGAUCCAGCCAUGCCGCGUGCGGGAAGAAGGCCUUCGGGUUGUAAACCGCUUUUGGCAGGAACGAAACGGCGCAGGCCAAUACCUUGCGCUAAUGACGGUACCUGCAGAAUAAGCACCGGCUAACUACGUGCCAGCCGCCGCGGUAAAAC